UCGCCCUUUUCCGGUUGACCUGCCGGACCCGACCGCUAUCGGGGUGGGGCUAAGCCAUGGGAGUCGUACGCCCCGGUCACCGGGGCGUGGCGGACGGCUGAGUAAUACGUGGCUAACCUACCCUCGGGACGGGGAUAGCCUCGGGAAACUGAGGCUAAUCCCCGAUAGGUAGGGACUCCUGGAAGGGGCCCUACCGAAAGGGCUACGCGGGGAUGUCCGCGUAGCCGCCCGAGGAUGGGGCCACGGCCCAUCAGGUAGUUGGCGGGGUAACGGCCCGCCAAGCCUAUAACGGGUAGGGGCCGUGAGAGCGGGAGCCCCCAGAUGGGCCCUGAGACAAGGGCCCAGGCCCUACGGGGCGCACCAGGCGCGAAACCUCCGCAAUGCGGGAAACCGUGACGGGGUCACCCCGAGUGCCCCGAAGAGGGGCUUUUCCCCGCUGUAAAAAGGCGGGGGAAUAAGCGGGGGGCAAGUCUGGUGUCAGCCGCCGCGGUAAUACCAGCCCCGCGAGUGGUCGGGACGAUUAUUGGGCCUAAAGCACCCGUAGCCGGCCCGGUAAGUCCCCCCUUAAAGCCCCGGGCCCAACCCGGGGACGGGGGGGAUACUGCCGGGCUAGGGGGCGGGAGAGGCCGGCGGUACUCCCGGGGUAGGGGCGAAAUCCGUUAAUCCCGGGAGGACCACCAGUGGCGAAGGCGGCCGGCUGGAACGCGCCCGACGGUGAGGGGCGAAAGCCGGGGGAGCGAACCGGAUUAGAUACCCGGGUAGUCCCGGCUGUAAACGAUGCGGGCUAGUCGUUGGGCGGGCUCAGAGCCCGCCCAGUGACGCAGGGAAGCCGUUAAGCCCGCCGCCUGGGGAGUACGGCCGCAAACCCGGAGCGGGUUGUCAACCCCUCCGGGGCGGAGGGCUGAAAGGCGGCGGGCGUGCGGGGGUUUCAUAAUUACUUGGUGUUAUCCGAGGUGAUGGCCACGUUGGGAGGUAUUUUGCUGAAGUUAGCGACGGGUAUGAGGUGAGUUCGAGCGUUGCUGCAUCAGUAAUCGCAGACCCUGGAUAUAGAGCUUUAGGAAGAGUAUCAGAUAUAUAGAAGACGAGACGCUCUCAGAUUCGCCGAUGAAAUAGGAUUUCCUGAACCCAACUAAAAGGAGAAAAUACUUCACUCCCCUUGUAAUUCAACUCUAUAG
rnacentral:rRNA from 1 species